rnacentral:tRNA from 1 species
GGGUGUGUACAGCUCAGCAGUGGAGCGCGUGCUUAGCGUGCCAAAGGGCCUGGGUUCAAUUCCCAGCAUCCCCG